UACGUAGGGCGCAAGCGUUGUCCGGAAUUAUUGGGCGUAAAGAGCUCGUAGGCGGUCUGUCGCGUCCGUUGUGAAAACUCGGGGCUUAACCCCGGGCCUGCAGUGGGUACGGGCAGACUAGAGUGCGGUAGGGGAGACUGGAAUUCCUGGUGUAGCGGUGAAAUGCGCAGAUAUCAGGAGGAACACCGGUGGCGAAGGCGGGUCUCUGGGCCGUAACUGACGCUGAGGAGCGAAAGCGUGGGGAGCGAACAGG
rnacentral:rRNA from 1 species